CAGCAGCCACGGGAAUACGAAGGGGGCUAGCGUUGUUCGGAAUUACUGGGCGUAAAGCGCACGUAGGCGGAUAUUUAAGUCAGGGGUGAAAUCCCGCAGCUCAACUGCGGAACUGCCUUUGAUACUGGGUAUCUUGAGUAUGGAAGAGGUUAGUGGAAUUGCGAGUGUAGAGGUGAAAUUCGUAGAUAUUCGCAGGAACACCAGUGGCGAAGGCGGCUAACUGGUCCAUAACUGACGCUGAGGUGCGAAAGCGUGGGGAGCAAACAGGAUUAGAUACCCCGGUAGUCCCUGUCUCUUAUAC
rnacentral:rRNA from 1 species